rnacentral:rRNA from 1 species
CGAAACGAUGAAGCCCUUCGGGGUGGAUUAGUGGCGAACGGGUGAGUAACACGUGGGCAAUCUGCCCUGCACUCUGGGACAAGCCCUGGAAACGGGGUCUAAUACCGGAUAAUACCUUCCACCGCAUGGUGGGGGGUUGAAAGCUCCGGCGGUGCAGGAUGAGCCCGCGGCCUAUCAGCUUGUUGGUGAGGUAGUGGCUCACCAAGGCGACGACGGGUAGCCGGCCUGAGAGGGCGACCGGCCACACUGGGACUGAGACACGGCCCAGACUCCUACGGGAGGCAGCAGUGGGGAAUAUUGCACAAUGGGCGAAAGCCUGAUGCAGCGACGCCGCGUGAGGGAUGACGGCCUUCGGGUUGUAAACCUCUUUCAGCAGGGAAGAAGCGCAAGUGACGGUACCUGCAGAAGAAGCGCCGGCUAACUACGUGCCAGCAGCCGCGGUAAUACGUAGGGCGCAAGCGUUGUCCGGAAUUAUUGGGCGUAAAGAGCUCGUAGGCGGCUUGUCACGUCGGUUGUGAAAGCCCGGGGCUUAACCCCGGGUCUGCAGUCGAUACGGGCAGGCUAGAGUUCGGUAGGGGAUAUCGGAAUUCC